rnacentral:rRNA from 1 species
GGGCUAGCGUUGUUCGGAAUCACUGGGCGUAAAGGGCGCGUAGGCGGCUUUAUAAGUCGGGGGUGAAAGCCUGUGGCUCAACCACAGAAUUGCCUUCGAUACUGUAGAGCUUGAGACCGGUAGAGGUAAGUGGAACUGCGAGUGUAGAGGUGAAAUUCGUAGAUAUUCGCAAGAACACCAGUGGCGAAGGCGGCUUACUGGUCCGGUUCUGACGCUGAGGCGCGAAAGCGUGGGGAGCAAACAGG